rnacentral:rRNA from 1 species
CAGAAACUUUAAAGGAAGUUGACGGGGCCCGCACAAGCGGUGGAGCGUGUGGUUUAAUUCGACGCAACGCGAAGAACCUUACCUGGGCUAGACAACGGUGGACAUCCCCAGAGAUGGGGCUUUCCCUUCGGGGACUGCCGGUUCAGGUGCUGCAUGGCUGUCGUCAGCUCGUGUCGUGAGAUGUUGGGUUAAGUCCCGCAACGAGCGCAACCCUUGUCCUUAGUUGCCAGCAUUCAGUUGGGCACUCUAAGGAGACUGCCGGUGUCAAACCGGAGGAAGGUGGGGAUGACGUCAAGUCCUCAUGGCCCUUAUGUCCAGGGCUACACACGUGCUACAAUGGCCGGUACAAAGGGGCGCAAGACCGCGAGGUGGAGCAAAUCCCAAAAAACCGGUCUCAGUUCGGAUUGGAGUCUGCAACUCGACUCCAUGAAGUUGGAAUCGCUAGUAAUCGCGUAUCAGCAUGACGCGGUGAAUACGUUCCCGGGCCUU